GUUGCUGCAAUGAAACGUCAUUGUAGAAGAAGAACAAAAAAAAACGUUUAACCACGAAUGAAGGACAAGUACAAACAUCUUGGAUUAAGUUGACGCUCUUCCGGCGGUUUUCCGACACAGACAAUGUGACGCAGGAUACCUCUGCGUUUCUGACACAUGGACCUGAUGGACAGUCACACAGCCGCAGGAGAAGUGAACGGCAAGGUGGAAUAAAGGCACAACAUUCCCGCCUUGAAUAGGCUGUGUGAAAGGGGCUCGAGAUGGAUAUCCCAAAACUACUGCAAAUGAAAUUCAACCUAUCUACAAGCUAGAUGUCGCAUAGCCUGGAGCCACACCGACUUACAGUUCACGCAUACGGCCUCCCGGCUUCCGCACAGACUCUCGUGAUAGUCUAAAACAACAUUUCAGAGGUGGAGCAGCGCCUCGGAUCACACCGCAUCCGAGUCAUGAUCCAACUGGAAUGAACUGAAGGCCUGUGAAAUAGAACCAGCCUCUCGCCGUCUGAACCACGAACCAAAUAUGUCACUCACAUGGCAAACGGAGACCGCAGAGAGGUAAAGGGAGAGAAGGGUGAAGAGAUGUACAUCGAUAGAUACAUCGAUGGAGAAAUAAGAGCAGGUGAUCCCUCUGGGUAGCUCCCCAUCUCCGGGCCUGGAUAUGAAGCUGCUGUGGCCUUCCAACUGAUACAGCUUCUUCACGUGCAGCUUUUGAACGAAUUGCCCAGUUCUUUAUCGGCUUCAGACUGAAGGUGAGAAUUUGUGUGUCUCCACUGCAUUCUGCCUGUCAGGGGGUUGUUGUCUCGACCGGGCAGCGUGUCUGCGACGGACAAAACAUGGUGAUAUUCUCAGAGGAGGCAGCCUCCUCCUCCUCACCAAAGGCACUUG